ensembl:misc_RNA 7SK 7SK RNA
GGAUGUGAAGGCAAUCUGGCUGAGACAUCAAGUGCCCCAGUGACGGCCAGGGUUGAUUUAUCUAAUCUGACUGGAUAGAUGAGGAUCCCAUUCCUAUUUCACCGUUUCAUGUCACCUUUCCUGAAGCUGCAUGCUCAGUCGAUGAGGAUGGUCUUCCCCAUGAGGAGGACCAUUCUUAGAUCUAGGAUACAUAAGUAGUUGAGGUCCCCUGCUAGAACCUCCAAACAAGCUUUCCCAGAUUCAGAUACAUACAGAACCAGAAUGCCGCUUGGCUUAGCUAAGGAGGCUUUAU